rnacentral:tRNA from 1 species
GUCCCUGGGGUCUAGUGGUUAAGACUCUGCACUUGCAAUGCGGGGGCACGGGUUUGAUCCCUGGUGGGGAAC